UACGUAGGGGGCGAGCGUUGUCCGGAUUUAUUGGGCGUAAAGAGCUCGUAGGCGGUUUGGCAAGUCGGGUGUGAAAACUCCGGGCUCAACUUGGAGACGCCACCUGAUACUGCUGUGGCUAGAGUCCGGUAGGGGAGUGUGGAACUCCUGGUGUAGCGGUGAAAUGCGCAGAUAUCAGGAAGAACACCAGCGGCGAAGGCGGCACUCUGGGCCGGAACUGACGCUGAGGAGCGAAAGCGUGGGUAGCAAACAGG
rnacentral:rRNA from 1 species